UCUCUCCAACACAGCAAUACAAUCUCUCUCAUCAUCACUGACUUCCUUCAAAGUGUCCAGUAAACUUCGCGCCACCAUUUGCCUAGAAGCACAGUUGACUUGGUCUUUUAAAGGGCUGGACAGCUCUGUUAAAUAUGUUCUCACUUGCAGCGUACUUGUCCAGUCUUCCCAAAGGCGUCAACAUUUCAUCUUGUGAGACAAAGUCCAGGGCUGAAGGUAUAAUAAUCACAUCAGACUCUGAGCUGUAGUCAUCCACACCAAAUCCGUCGAUCUCCUCCUGCAGGUCCUCCUGGAGCAGCGACAGAUCUGCGAGACACAAGCAGCGUGGGCCGACGGGCCCGCACGCCCCCGCCACGCGCGCCCCGUCGCACCCGCGGGGCCGCCCCCCGCUCCCCGCCCGCACCGCCGGGUCUGAGCGCGCCCCGACCCCCGCGCCCGGGGCUCCCCGCCGCCUCCCGCACCCCCGCGGCCGGACAGGGGAGGAGGGGGCGCCGCCGCGGGAAGCGCUUCCCGAGCCGGGGCGGGGGCGAGGAGGGGGGAGGCGGCGUGAGGCGGGGAGGGGGAGGGGGGUGCUACCUACCCGCCAUCUUGCUGCAGCCCCCGCGGGGCGCCGGGCUGCAUCCAGCCCGCGGCGGGGCGGCGAGCGGGCGGCGGGGCCGGAGGAAGGAGGGGGCAGAGCCCGGCGCGGUCCAGGCCCCGGGCCCGGCGACGGCGUCUCCCGCGUCCCCGGGAGAGGCGCGCAGGGAGCGGGCGGGCGGAGGAAGGCGGGAGGAGGGGUCUGGGCCGGACACGCUGCCCCCGCCUCCGCCCGGCAGAGCCGCGCUCGCACGCGGCACGGCCGCGCCGCGCUCCCCGCCCCUCGCACUGACUCACGCCCGGGACGCCCGGCCCUGCCCGCCGGCGGCGAGACCGGGGACCGCGAGGGCACGGCCGCGCGUCUCGGCUCGCUCACCUGGCGGGCUGUCUCCGCACCUGACCUCCCGGCUGCGCAGCCCCGCCGUGCCGUGGCAGCUGGGGGAGCGAGGGACUGUGAAUGGAGCCUUGUUCUGGGCUCUGGGGGGGAGGGGGGGGGGUCACUCGGAGAGAAGAGUCUGCAUGAGGUGGUCGCACCACAAAAAUCCUCAUGAUGGGUUUCACAGAGUUACUCGGCAGGAGGAAGCGGGUUUCCAUGAGGUAUCCAGGUCAGUAUAGUCCACGCUGAGAGCUCUGUGGGGUUACCCAUAAGGCAGCCGUGCCACAGAGACCCCUCGCUUUGGGGGGGGUUUUUCCUCGAGUCCUUCCAGAGGACUGGAGGCAGCCAGGCCACCCUUUCAGUAUCUAGAGGAGGGGAUAGACGUUAGCGAGAACUGUCGUGAAAGAACAAGGGGAAAUGGUUUCAAACUGAAAGAGAGAAGGUUUACAUUGGAUGUAAGGAAAAAAAGCCCCCAUCCCUGGAGAUGCUCAACGUCAGGCUGGGUGGGGCUGCGAGCACCUGACCUAGCUGUAGGUGCCCUUGUUCACUGCAGGGGGGUUGGACUAGAUGGCCCUUUAGGGUCCCUUCCAAUUCAAAUGAUUCUAUGAUUCAAAGUUCCCGCUUUGGGCUCAGGCUGUCUGGAGAGAAGGGUCCCCACCAGGCCACACACCAUGGAAGUCCCUGCUGCAGCCUGGGAGUGUUAUCAGAGCGUUCCACCAUCUUGUUAUCUCUGUAAUGAUCAGUGAUGGUGUUACUGCAGAGAGAAUUAAAAAAAAAAAAAAAAAAAAAAGUUAUUUUUGCCCAGUUUUUCGGAAAAGGAUGCCAUUUUGGUUGCUCAGGUUUUUAAUGCAAUGUUUGGUAACAUGCUUUGUAAGCUCCUUUUUAACAUCAAGCUGCUGUUUUCCCUUUAUUUUGUAAGUCAGGUAAGGAAUAAACAUCUACAGUCAUUCCUUUUCUUUUCCAUUGUGGCUGAAAAUGUGCCAUCUUUUAGAAUGUAUGCAUCCCUUUCCUUACAUUCCUCUAGAGCAAGCUGCACCCUGAUUCACACCUAUUCAAUCUUUAGAGAAAUCAGGGGGUCUGCUGGGUACUGAUUGUCUGACACUUGCUUUUAUUCAGAUAGGUAACCUCAAAAUCUGAGUAAAUCAAAUAAAUUCACCUUGGCUACGUUGUACGAACCAUGUUAUUCUCUGCUGGAGUAACUGAAGAGAAGAUUCAUUAGAAACAUUUGACAUCACCAGUACCUAGCAACGCUGAAUGUAGGAAUAUUUUAUAGUAGUAGACCUAGAAGACCAAAUCUUUAUCUCUUCUCACUGUGAGUUAUUUACAGGAUGGUUUCUUUCUGCUUUGCGUUCUUCACCACAGCCCAAGCCCAGUUUUGCUUCCUCUGAAAUCAACAGCAGUAGUCUCAAAAUGCUCUGUGCCUGAUUUUACUAAAAGAAUUGAGAGCUAUGGUUGCUCUUCCCAACUCUUUACAAAGAGUCACUAAUGCAUGCUAGCUGUAGGUCACAGUGGUCUGAAAUCAGCUGUUGACUACUACUAUCAGAAUGAGAAAGUAAACUGAAUGAGAUACAAAUGCAACUGGGUUUAUAAUUUGGAAUGCAUCCGAACUACUUCUCUCAAGACUAUAUUAAUAGUGUUAGUUAUUGCUAGCGUACCAUUUAUGCAGUAAAGCAAGGCAAAUGAUGAUUACAAAAGAUCAUACUUAACAUAAAUUCAUAUAAAUUAAUUUUGGAUCACGCUAUGCGUAUGUGUUCUGCGCAAGUAGUAAUUAGUGAUGCUCUCUAUAGGCAGGAGUGGGUGAGAUCUGAAACACAGAUCAGAGUGAUUUAACCUUGGAAGAUGAAUUAUAACUGUACAAGAACUGCAAUUUUUUGCUACAAGUUAGUCCUAGAAUAACGAUCUGUUUCUCAGGUGCAGAUGGCCCUGGUACCAUUGCUAGCAGUCAUCAGGAGAGGUGUCUUCCUCUGCAAACAGAGAUACAGUGGCAAAACCUUUGGCUCAUAGUCAUACACACAUGGAGAAAAAUUACUUUGAUUUGGCUUCAAGCCACCAUGCAAUAGAAAAACCCACUUAAUGAAUAAGUAACCAGAUAUUUCUCAAGUUCUUGGCCUCAGGAGACCUGUAAAUCUUCUGGCACUCUUUGAAGGCCAGAUCCAAAGUUCAUACCCAUGGUAAGAUUGCCCAUCACGGGUAACAAACAAGGCAGGCACCCCAGAAAUGUGCGACAUGCUGGUUCUUUCAGAUGGAGUGGUGGACUGCCAUUUGAAAACAAGUGACCUAAUUAUACCUGAAAAUUUUCAUAACAGGCUUGUUUUAUUAACUGGGAUGUGUCAAAGAAUGAGCAAAACAGCACCUGGCAAAACAUUCGAACAGAUCUUGUGCUGGAGUUCUCGUAAUCCACCACGAAUUGGGUGCAAAGGAAUGGAUGGAAGACUCAUUGGCAAGAUGAUUUGCAUGGGACAGAAGACACCUGUACUGCUACCUACAUGGAGUAUCUCAUAAAGACCCACAGCAAUCAAGGAGGUAUUAUGGCAUUUACAUAAAGUACUGCAUAAAUCCUUUGGAAUCAGCAUAGAUGACCAUUAUGUAUGAGAUAUGUAAUAUCCAUCCUGAUAUAUUUGCAAAAUGGGAUUCUGUAGUUGGAUCACCAUUUCUUCAGUCAGAACUGCUUCAGGUGUGAGGAUCUCAAGCCCAAGCACUCGUACAUGAAAUACUCAAUUUCCUAUAUUUGUUCUGAAGAAGCAAGCCACCGUGUCACCAAGCAAUAGUGCCAGCUUUCACUGUCCACAUGUUAAGUAGCUCUGCAUUUCUCCCAGCUCCCUUUCCCGUGUGGGACGAGCUUACCAUAAAUAUCUGCAGAACUAUCUCACCAUCCUCCUCCAAACUCCUCUGCAGAGCUAUUUUUUUGUAAGGCCUACAGAAAUGCUUUGGGGUUACACUGCUGGUGCAUGAUACAAAUGCUUAUCCUCUUGAACAAUACUGACUCAUAGCUUCUUGUCCACCCCCAGGAUUCUGUCUGCACACAUCUGUGACACUUUCUGGCUAAGGCAUACGCUCCUUACUUUAAAGGCUAUCUUUCUGUUCUUUGAGUAGUGCUUAACCAAAAUUGGCCCACAACUAAGGAGACAGGCUAAGAUACAUUCAUAUACACACAUAAGCAUGUGGGUACCUGAAAUAUGAAAGGAUGAGCAUGGAAACCUGAUGGCUGAAGCCUGGGAAACUGUUCAUGCGCACCUGAAAGUAUACCUCAUGGAAGCAUUUCUGCUAAGAAGGGAUGUUCUUCGUAAAGCCUUUCCCUUCUCCUCCCUGUUCUCCUUCCCUUCUCCUGCCCUGGUCCUCUUUUUGUUUGUUGUUUUAUUUUUUUUCUUUUUCCUUUCUCUGAUGAAAAUACCGGAGGUCUUUUGCUGUUGCUUUUUAUUGGAGCAGGGCUGUAUUUGAAACAUUCCUAGUGGAGAUGAAGGUUUUAGACUAUGCAGCACUCAGUUUUAUUUAAUCUCACCCAUUUCCUGGAUAAAGAGCUGCACCUGUUCAGAACUUCGGUGAGAUGCAGGACAUGACAGCCCAGGCAGGCUUUUUAUUUUGAUAGCCAAGAAUGGAUUAACACUAAAAUUUGCUGACAAAGAGCUCUGUUAACACAAAGUUAAGUUUGCCUUGUGGGUAUCUCAUGUCAUUCCAGUCAUUCCAGAAUAGUGACAAGUUCAAGUGAUCAAGCAUCUCAAAACUGGGAAAUACAAAAUCAGAUAGAUACUAAUGCAAUGUUAAGGCUGCACCUGCAGCUUGCAAUGGUUAUGGCAAUUUGUUUGCAAGUAAAGCUGUUACACCAAAGGCGCAAGGAUGGCAGUGCUACUGCGAGUGGUCAAAGGAAAGGCAUGCGUGUAGGAGAUAUUCCAGCUUCUUUAUUUCACUGUUAAGACCACUACUAGUGGGAAUAUGCCUAACUCCUUUGGCUAUAGACAUUUCAUGAGGGUGGUCUUUGUGGUGGGUAAGUCAAAGUCUGUAUCUGUAUCUGAUCCUAAUGGUUCUCAAGUUCACUGUGAAAGAGGAAUAAAGAAAACAUCAGGGGCUGCAUCAGGGAGUUGGGUCUCAGUGUUGUAGUACCACAUGUGCACAGGGUUCCUCAUUCAAUAUCACACACCUGCACAUGAGUUUCCUUCAGCAGGGAGCUGUGCUGCAGUUCUGAGGUACUCUGUUUCAGAAAUCGUGUGUCAUGCUUACGUUUGGUGUGGGAAGACUGAAUCACUGCUCAAACAGGGCAGAGUUCAGGUGUACUGAUGUGCCUUAGCUCCCUGUUUCCUCGUUCUCAGAGGUAUGUGAGUCACCAGCGUACGGUAAGGAAACAAGACUGGGCAAUGAGAAAUGCUGAAUCCUUUCCUUCAUUGCCUGUUGAGAUUUUUCAUUUUUUAAAUUAUUUUUUAAUUUGAAAAAGGCUGAAUUUGGGCUUGCUAUCUCAGGAAAUUCCAACAACUACACAUAUGUGCAGCUGGAAUACUGUCAUUAUUCUUCUCUCUUAGGUAAAGAAACAGAGAUCAGAAGAGGUAAAGUGGCCUGCCUAGUGCUGCUUAUCAGGAAAUAAGCAGUUUUCCUGAAGAAAGAGGUUUCCUGAGAUGGAAAAUAGGGAAAAAAAAUAAACCAAGAAAAGAUCUUUGCUAUUUUUUAUUCUCUGAUGCCAUUACGUGCAUGACGAGUAUCAAUAGAAAGCAUGUCCCUGCUCUGAGCUGUAUGCCAGGACAGACCCUGCAUCCCUGUUGGACUUGCCCUUGAGUCAGCUGGGCUUUCCAGCCUUCCCUCAGCCCACACAGUCUCCCC
rnacentral:lncRNA from 1 species